GGCGGGCGAGGGCCGGGCCAAUGAGGACGCGGUGACCUCAUCAGAUCUGCGUGUCACCGCGUGCGCAGCGGGGAGGGGAGGGGGUGUCGCUUUUAUACGGAGCGGGGCCUCCUCGCCCGCUGCUCAGAGCUCGGGAGCAGCCGGCCCAGCGCGCCGCACGGCGGUGCACCCCGGCGCUCCUCUCUGCGCCCCGACGCCGUCUUUCGGAAGCGCAGCCCGAGGUUGGUCUCUCCGCAGCCCGAGGUCGGUCUCUCCGCAGCCCGAGGUCCGUCUUUCUGCAGCCCGAGCCCGAGGUCGGUCUCUCUGCAGCGCGAGGCCCGUCUCUCCGCAGCCUGAGGUCGGUCUCUGCAGCCCGAGGUCGGACUUUCUGCAGCCCGAGGCCCGUCUCUCCGCAGCCCGAGCCCGAGGCCGGUGUCUCUCUGUCCGCAGCCCGAUGUCUCUGCAGCCCAAGCCCCAUGUCCCCGCGGCC